rnacentral:rRNA from 1 species
UACGUAGGUGACAAGCGUUGUCCGGAUUUACUGGGCGUAAAGAGCGCGCAGGCGGUCGUUCAAGUCGCGUGUGAAAGCCCCCGGCUCAACUGGGGAGGGUCACGCGAUACUGAUCGACUCGAAGGCAGGAGAGGGUAGUGGAAUUCCCGGUGUAGUGGUGAAAUGCGUAGAUAUCGGGAGGAACACCAGUGGCGAAGGCGACUACCUGGCCUGUUCUUGACGCUGAGGCGCGAAAGCGUGGGGAGCAAACAGG